rnacentral:rRNA from 1 species
GACGAACGCUGGCGGCGUGCCUAAUACAUGCAAGUAGAACGCUGAAGGCGGAGCUUGCUUCUCUGGAUGAGUUGCGAACGGGUGAGUAACGCGUAGGUAACCUGCCUUGUAGCGUGGGAUAACUUUUGGAAACGAUAGCUAAUACCGCAUAAGAGUAGCUGUUGCAUGACAUUUGCUGGAAAGUUGCAAUUGCAUCGCUACCAGAUGGCCCUGCGUUGUAUUAGCUAGUUGGUGGGGUAACGGCUCACCAAGGCGGGGAUACAUAGCCGACCUGAGAGGGGGAGCGGCCACCCUGGGACGGAGACACGGCCCAGACGGCUUCGGGUGGCAGCAGUAGGGAAUCGUCGGCAAGGGACGGAAGACUGACCGAGCAACGCCGAGGGAGUGAAGAAGGAUGUCGGGUCGGAAAGGUCGGUUGUAAGGGAAGAACGAGCGUGAGAGUGGAAAGUUCACACUGUGACGGUAACUGACCAGAAAGGGACGGCUAACUACGUG